rnacentral:rRNA from 1 species
UACAGAGGUCUCAAGCGUUGUUCGGAUUCAUUGGGCGUAAAGGGUGCGUAGGUGGCGCCGUAAGUCCGGUGUGAAAUUUCGGAGCUUAACUCCGAAACUGCAUUUGAUACUGCGGGGCUUGAGGACUGGAGAGGAGACUGGAAUUUACGGUGUAGCAGUGAAAUGCGUAGAUAUCGUAAGGAAGACCAGUGGCGAAGGCGAAUCUCUGGACAGUUACUGACACUGAGGCACGAAGGCCAGGGGAGCAAACGGG